rnacentral:rRNA from 1 species
UACGUAGGGUGCAAGCGUUGUCCGGAAUUAUUGGGCGUAAAGCGCACGUAGGCGGAUAUUUAAGUCAGGGGUGAAAUCCCGGGGCUCAACCCCGGAACUGCCUUUGAUACUGGGUAUCUCGAGUCCGAGAGAGGUGAGUGGAAUUCCGAGUGUAGAGGUGAAAUUCGUAGAUAUUCGGAGGAACACCAGUGGCGAAGGCGGCUCACUGGCUCGGUACUGACGCUGAGGUGCGAAAGCGUGGGGAGCAAACAGG